CUAGGACACGUGAAUAAAUAAAGCUUACUACCAAGAGUAAUGCACAAUUCACGGUACCACUCUUCGCUAGCUUUCUUUAGCCUGUUAUUAAUAUAAAUAUAAGAAUAAAAAUAUAAUAUGUGGAUAACUACAUCACAGAAUAAUAUUAUAAUUGAGAGGGUGAUGUAUCCGUCGCGGGAUCGAAGUCAUAUGAGAGGAUUAUGGUGGUACACGAGCAAGUAGCACGGGAGUGAGAAAGUGUAAUAUUAAGAUGAGUUUUAUCUUUUCUUCAUAGUAGUCUCAAUGUGUCUAUAGGAACCACGAGUAUUGUCGGCAGCGCGUCACCAAGGCGCGUGCAAUCACAUGAGCUCUGGAUUAUCAAGAGCACGCGCGAUACAGGCAUGCGACUUCUAUCUAUGUCAGUCUUGGCUAACCUGAGGGUGUGUGUAUAUGUUACUUGUUUGGUGGGGUAGGAUAGUGCUGCCAAGAGCGGGAAGAGGGCGCAGGUCCGUCUGACUACCAUGUAUUGUAAUGAUAUAACUCUUUAUUCCUCUUUUAUUAUCUACACAUUACCUUCUACCAAGCCAUCGCGAGAUGAAAACCAGGGAGAGAAGGGAGGCCUCACCUCCAGUAUGCGCAAGAAAGAAGAAUCUAGAAUUGGCUCAGAUGAAUAGCAAUACAAGCGCAUAACACAUGCAAGUCGAACGAACCUUCAAGAUUAGUGGCUGACGUGUGAGUAACGCGAGAGAAUCUGCCCUCAGGAGGGGGAUAACGGUUGGAAACGACCGCUAAUACCCCAUAUGCCGAGAGGUGAAAAGAAAUUCGCCUGAGGAUGAGCUCGCGUCUGAUUAGCUAGUUGGUGUGUGUAAUGGCGCACCAAGGCUAAGAUCAGUAGCUGGUCUGAGAGGAUGAUCAGCCAGACUGUGUCCUGACACGNCGAAGACUCCUACGGGAGGUCGGAGUGGGGAAUCUAGAAAUCUCUAGCAAAUCCAGU
rnacentral:sRNA from 1 species